CGCCUCCCAGCUGCCCUCCCAGCCAGAAGUGGUCCAGCCAAGGCUGCCCGGCUGGCAGAGGCCUCCCGGGGCGCUCCUGAUUGACAGGAUGCUAAAUGCAAGAGGUUUCCUGCGAUAAAGAAAGAGAUUUUCUUGAAGCAUUCAACUCCUGACCUUUAAGAGCUUGGGGAGCAAAAUGAUUUUCAGUCACUUGGGCCUGAGUGAAAGAACCUCUCGAAUGUCUCGAAUAUGGCCCCCACCAGAGUACUACCUUCCCCCGGUAUCCCACUCUGGUGUGCCAUGAGCGAACGUUUUAACAAUAACCCCAAGACAGCAUGCCAGGGAGUUAUCCACGCCAGCUGAGGAGCCCUCCCCACCGGCCAGCGGCCAGCA